CCUAGUGCAGGUCUGGGGUGUCCAGUCCUCCAGGAAGGUCAACAUCCAGCAGAUUUGGGUUACAACCAACCAACAAACACGCUUGCUCUGUUUCUAGUAAUUCAGAAGAGCGUGGGAAGCUGUUUGAGAUGCGUUUAAUUAGUAUCAGAGCUAAACUCUACAGGAUAUUGGCCCUCCAAAAGCAGGAUUGGACACCGCUGGUCUGUAAAAAAAAAAAAAAAAAAAAAGUAAAUAAGAUAAAUAUGCCUGUUGUUUACAACAACGGUAAAAAUUAAAUAUCUCGAUUUCAGUUGGUAGAGGUAAAAUCUUUAUUCAUUAAUGUGGGUGAAUUGUCUUUAAUGAACUUUUAUAACUAAUACAUUUGAAUGGUGUAUUUACAUUUUUUUUCUACAUAGAACAUCAUCUGACAAGACUGACACCCAAUAAAUAAAGCGAAACAACAUUUUUUCCUUUUCCUUCAGAACUUCAUCCAGCGUUGUCCAAGAAGGGAGGGAGUGGCACGAGCUCCUCGGACAUGAGUCCAUCCUGCCUGUUGCCCAGCACAAAAGCCAGGAAAGAGAGAAUGAGGGCGUCCAGGAUGCCCAUAAUGGCCAGGAUGUACGCCCAGCGCACUGAGCAUGCUCCAAUGGUGUACUUGUCCGUCCCUUCUCCGCACAUCCUCUUCACCUCAUCAGCAUCCCAGCCAUCAGGAUAUAUCAUACAGCCCAACACCAGACACACACCUAAGAGAGAAAGCAGGCAUCGUUAGCAGCAGUGAAGGAUGAAAAAAAGGUGCUUCCUCACGCUCAUCUUCCCCUGACAUCGCUUGACUUGGCAUUUGUUAAAAUGUCUUUACAUCCCAGCCAAUGGAAGGAGAAGAAGCACCAAGGAUGAUAAGGGAAGGAGACAAGAUGGAUGGAGAGAGGAGAAGAUAAUGCAAGGUUCCUGUCUCUCCUUGCCUCUUUCUUGCUAAGCUGCAGUUGUUUGCUGCUCAAUAUAUUGUCAAGGCAAGAAUAGAGUAACGCCUCAGGGUUUGUGUUUCAUCCUGAGAAUGGCAGCUUAUUGUUUUCCAUUCCAGAGAGGGAUGAAUGUUGGGAAAGAAUAGAAGAAAAGAGAAUAAGAGAGAGAGAGAGAGAAACCUCACUGCAUCCAUGCUAAUAUAAAAUUCCCUGCUUCUGCAGCCAGACAUUAUCUAUUCUACAAAACCUAGUUAGCUGCCUACCUAGACAACAUUUUAAGACACUUUAGCAGCGCUCCUGACUCAAGCACUAUUCCAAAAGGCUCCAAAGAUACUUAGUUUCAGCCAAAUAAUAAGGCAAAAUCACAUUUUUAGAGCACUGUUAGCUUAGCAACACGUUAGCAUCAAAAAAUAAUUGUGAGUUCCUGCAAACAUUUCAAAUCAGUCAAUUAUGAUGAUACAUUUCAGGUAGGAAGCUGUCUAGUAGGUAGUAGAUAGCAGGGUAGCUCACCAGGUUUUGAACAGAGCCAAACACACACACACGAUUAGGCACUUGGGUUCGUCUGGCAUCAGAGUUCAGUUUUAUUGGAUGAUAUGAAAGCUGUUUUCUGAACUUGGUUGCACGAAGGCGAUCUGGGGUACGGUUUAGGUAAACUCUAGUACAGUUCACUGCUGAUAUGGACCAAAUUAUAGCGAAUCUCUAUUCGAAAACAUUUGCUGCACAUUCAAAGCAUAUUAAGCCCUAUACAGAUGGGAUUCGUUUUACAAGGGUAGAUGGAUUAAUGUUAUUUUACCGCAGGAUGUUUGUAAUAAUAUUGGCCAAUUCGCAUGUGCGGGCCACAUUGCUUCCGGUGCGUACUUCAUUGUUUAUUAUAAGAUUAUAAUAUGGUCCAGUGAAACGAUUUAUUCAUUAAAUUCGGAUUGGAUUGUGUUAAUAAUAGGCACUUACCUAAAGCUAACAGAAGUUUCGUGCCUGGAAAUGACAGAAUAUUUAUGUGCAUAUUUACAGCUGGUCUAUUUGCACAGGAAUAGUGUAAUCUGGCCGUUGAGUGAGACUUUCCUUGAAAGAGACUUUGCCCAACUUCUCCAUGUAAAAUGAAACCCGUCUGAAUAUGGCUUUAGACACAAGUAUAGUUGUGUGUUCACACUUUGGAAACAAAAUCAAAGUUUAAAAGUGAGGUGAGCAAUGCUAUGCAUUUUACUGCCUUCUCCUGCAUCGUCAUUAUAUGGCUAAUAAGCUGCCGUUAUGAAUUAUGAUAAAAUAAUCAUACCACUGUUUGGAAUCAAAAAAGCGUUAACACAAUCAAGUGGGGAAGGAGGAGCAAUUGAACUAUGAUUAAGUAUAAGCAAGAGAACCAGUUUUGAAAACACUUCAUUAAUUCAUUUCAAUCCAUUUUAACAGCUCGGCACUGAAUGUCUCUCGUAAUAGACAUAGUUGAUCCAAAUGCAUCAGUGAUACCUGUCUAUCUAAUUUUAUCUAUCUAUCUGUCUGUCUGUCUGUCUUUCUAUAUGUUUGUUGGUCAUAAUGUCUUUGCCACUCUUUUUAUGUCUAUUACCCUUUUCAUUCACCUAAUCAUGAAUGCAUCUGUGCAGACACAAGCUGUGCUUUCAUGCUUACCUGACACAAGACAAAUUUGGGUUCAGCCUGUUUCAGACAAACAUCUGUCUUUGACUGUUAAAUCCUGAAUGGGCUUCUCUGCUCUGCCAGUGGCAUAUGUUACAUAUAACAGGCUUUGCACAAAGUGGCUCCCACUGUGGAUUAUUUCAGUAGGCCUAGAUAAACGUAAAAAGGCGUAAUAUGGUUGAAACAGGUUUAUAGUGGCCUAAACACUGCAAAAAGGGUCCUUUUGCAUUUUUAUUUUGUGUAAAAUAUCUAAACAUUAAUUUUCUAAACACAUCCAAAGUCACGUAAAAAGCAGGUGGCUAUUUGAAAUUUAAACUUCAUAUUGAUUGCAAUGAUAAUGGUUCAAUAAACCCUUUGAAGAUGAAUAGAAACAAGAUGAUGUGUUAAAAUGCUACCUCUGAAUUAAGAUAAAAGUGCUCUAAGGAAAGUCUAAGAGAUGCAGCAGAGUUAUUAUUCACGCCGCAGCUGAGAGUUGGCUCUGAACGUGUGUGAGUUCUGUGGAGUGAGUUGUGUUGUCAUGGAGACGCUCUCAGGAUUGUCAGUCUUGUGGGGUUUUUGAUAAGUGAUGGGUGUGUUAUUGACUGCAGCGCUCCUGAACUCCUCCCUCCUGGGCAAACCAGGCCAGCGCAACUGACACACUAUUACUUUUUCUGCAUUAUAAACUAUGUAUACUUUACAUACUUUUGUAGACAGGUAGACAGCAAUAUUCUAUUCUAGCUAAAACAGCAUUGCAUGUAUCAUUUGCAGAUUUAAAAUGCACUGGCUCUACCUGUGUACUGUGGAACGUUUCAAAUCAGUAGCAUAUUAGCUUAUUACUUCCUGCAUACUACACAGUAUACACUUAAUACUGCCAAAUAUAUAUAUAUUUUUUAAAGCAUAUGAAAGAAUAUCUAUUAUGCAUAAAUUACUAUGCUGCAUGUUUCAUUUAGUCAGAGUGUAAAAGUCGGGGAUUUCGUUUAUUCAUUUUUUAUGUGAAAAUAGGAAAUGUCACAAUAAUGUAGCAUAAUAUAUUUUUGCACAAUGCUUACUGUUCCACAUGCUAUUUCUAAAACAGCAUACUGUGCAAUGUUCAGUGAGCAGUACAUUGAUUUUCCAUUUCAAAAAGCCUUUCUCUUUCUCUUUUCUGUGCAUCACUGCAGUUUAUAUAUAUAUAUAUAUAUAUAUAUAUAUAUAUAUAUGGAAAAUCGACCCGAACAUCCAAAAAUACAUUACGUUUGACAUCUUGAAAAUAUGCAGUCAUAAUCUUUAUAACGUGUGCGCAUAUAACCUCAUUACCCUAACGCAAAAGACUACAUAUCCCAUAAUUCUUUGGGGGCGGUGGAACAGUAAAGGUGAUUGGGAACAGGUGGUCCAAUUAAUUACUGGCGAGCACGAGCACACCCGCCAAGAUUGGGAGGAAACUAAAUGAGCGUGCCAAAAUACAGAUUUAACGAGAGGAGACAUACACAAACCCUUAAUAGACAAAAAGAAAAAGCAAACAGAUUAAGAGAAAAAUUCUCUUUUAUCGUUCUGAUGCACUUAUUUCAACCACACAAGCUGGAUUGGCAUAGCAAACCUAUUUGGAUGACAACCAGUGUGUUGCGUGUGUAUUUGGCAGAACCCAAUACUAUGUAAUGGAUAUUUCCUCUUCCCUGUUGGAAACCAAUACGUUUUGAAUUGGGCCCCCCAGGACAGCAUUAUCUAGCCCUGUCAAGCGCUCACUGAAGUGUCCGUGUGAUGCUUGGUGUGUCCUUCCAAAUGCAGUCCACAUCUUCACUACUUGACAGACACUAGAGCUUUUGUUUCUCUCUCUGCGUUCUGUUUUAUUAGCACAGCUCAUCUAAAUUCAGAGAUGAUCUCUCUAUCUCUCUCAGGUUUCCCAGACUGUGUGACAGCACUCAGAGGAAGGGGCGUUUUUGAAUAUUCUGCAGAUGUCCUCUUUGGUUUCUCUGCGUGAGCUGAGCGUUUGAAGUUGGCUGAUGGGAUUGUUUUAAUAUUCCUCA